UUAUGUUCAUUUAUAAAGAAUAUAAUUACUAUUAUAUAAGUUAAAAAUUACUAAACAACAAAAUAAUAUUGAUUUUAUUAUUAAUUUAAUAAUAAUAAUAAUAAUAAUAAUAAUAGUAUAUUAAUGGGUAAAAACUCUAGUCGCUCUUUCUUCUUUCGUUUCUUCUUUAGUUGGCAGCGGCCCUUUCCUUCUUUUUUUCAUCCUCACUGCUCAAGUGCUCAGUUCUCAACCCUAGCCGCUGAUCGGUCCAAUCCUCCAUUCUUGUUCUCCAUUCAGGUAAAUCUUAUCUCUUUUUUAUUUUCAUUUUUGGGUAGUUAUUGUGCCAAAAUUUGGUGGCUUUUUAGCUUGAGCUUUGGGCAGAUAUUUUCAUUUCAUUUGUUUUAUAUAAAAAAUUAUCUAUUAGCUUAAGUGUUACAUACAUUCUUAUUUUUUUUAUUUGUGUAGGAUCAUGUAUAACAAUUGAAGAUUCAAUUGCCACACUUGUUGAAACUAACAAGGAAGGAGAUGAUUGAAUUUUUUAUGAGUUGUUG
rnacentral:lncRNA from 1 species